GCACGAAUGUCCUAUGUUUUAAAUAAUCAACUAGCCUCAUAUUGCCUGUUUGGUAUCCCUUUCAAUGUUUCUGUUUUUAGAAUCGUUGCGCAUGCGCAUUAUCUGUACCUGAGAACAUCUUGUGCAAAAGGAUUGAUAAAUAUAAAUAUAACUGUUCAAGAUGGGUAACGCAGUAUGGAGAAACACCGACCAAGUUGACAAAGGGUGGAACGGGUCAUGGGAUGAUACGUAUUCUAAAGCCUUAUUGAAAGAAAUAAAAAACACAAAACGCACCUAUGUUUUGGCAUCAGGCAUACUUUAUUGUGGACCAGCGACACAUGGAAAAUCCAGCUUUGUCAACAGCAUUC